rnacentral:rRNA from 1 species
GAUGAACGCUAGCUACAGGCUUAACACAUGCAAGUCGCGGGGCAGCAUGGGGGUUGCUUGCAAUCCCCGAUGGCGACCGGCGCACGGGUGAGUAACGCGUAUCCAACCUGCCCUUCACCACGGGAUAACCCGGCGAAAGUCGGACUAAUACCGUAUGUUGUCCAUUGACGGCAUCCGAUUUGGACGAAAGGUUUGGCGGUGAAGGAUGGGGAUGCGUCCGAUUAGCUGGACGGCGGGGUGACGGCCCACCGUGGCGACGAUCGGUAGGGGUUCUGAGAGGAAGGUCCCCCACACUGGAACUGAGACACGGGCCAGACUCCUACGGGAGGCAGCAGUGAGGAAUAUUGGUCAAUGGGCGUAAGCCUGAACCAGCCAAGUAGCGUGCAGGAUGACGGCCCUAUGGGUUGUAAACUGCUUUUAUGCGGGGAUAAAGUGGCCCACGUGUGGGUUUUUGCAGGUACCGCAUGAAUAAGGACCGGCUAAUUCCGUG